GACGAACGCUGGCGGCGUGCCUAAUACAUGCAAGUAGGACGCAGUUGCGAACGGGGGAGUAAAGCGUAGGUAACUACCUCUUAGAGGGGGAUAAAUAAUGUAAACGAUAGUUAAUACCGCAUACUAGUAGAUGGACCGGCGUUGUAUUAGGUAGUAGGUUGGGUAAUGGCCUACCUAGGCCACGAUACAUAGCCGAACCGGGAGGGGGAUCGGCCCCACUUGGACUGGGGAAACGCCCAGAAUCCUAAGGGAGGCAGGCGUAAGGAAACUUCGGGAAAUGGAGGAACGCUGAACCGGCAACGCCGGGGGGGUGAAAGAGGUUUUUGGGACGGUAAGCUCUGUUGUUUAGAAAGCGGUAUUUAACCAGAAAGGGACGGCUAACUACGUGCCAGCAGCCGCGGUAAUAC
rnacentral:rRNA from 1 species